UACGUAGGGUGCGAGCGUUAAUCGGAAUUACUGGGCGUAAAGCGUGCGCAGGCGGUUUUGUAAGCCAGGUGUGAAAUCCCCGGGCUCAACCUGGGAAUUGCGAUGGAGACUGCAAGGCUAGAAUCUGGCAGAGGGGGGUAGAAUUCCACGUGUAGCAGUGAAAUGCGUAGAGAUGUGGAGGAACACCGAUGGCGAAGGCAGCCCCCUGGGUCAAGAUUGACGCUCAUGCACGAAAGCGUGGGGAGCAAACA
rnacentral:rRNA from 1 species